rnacentral:rRNA from 1 species
AUUGAACGCUGGCGGCAGGCCUAACACAUGCAAGUCGAACGAGUGGCGGACGGGUGAAUAAUGUCUGGGAAACUGCCUGAUGGAGGGGGAUAACUACUGGAAACGGUAGCUAAUACCGCAUACCAUCGGAUGUGCCCAGAUGGGAUUAGCUUGUUGGUGGGGUAAAGGCUCACCUAGGCGACGAUCCCUAGCUGGUCUGAGAGGAUGACCAGCCACACUGGAACUGAGACACGGUCAAGACUCCUACGGGAGGGAGCAGUGGGUAAGAUUGCACAACGGGCGCCAGCCUGAUGCAGCCAUGCCGCGUGUAUGAAGAAGGCCUUCGGUUUGUAAAGUACUUUCAGCGGGGAGGCGUUACCCGCAGAAGAAGCAUCGGCUAACGCCGUGCCAGCAGCCGCGGUAAUUC